rnacentral:tRNA from 1 species
CAGGGAGACAACAAAAUGUUAAAUAUUAAUUUUGUCACCUUAGGUCGAUCGGUAUCUCACAUUCUUAAACUAAUUAAGGAUUUCAUUUCCUAAGUUUUUCUAGGUCACACCCAUUACUUUUCCUGGGCCAUUAGCUCAGGUGGUUAGAGCGCACCCCUGAUAAGGGUGAGGUCCCUGGUUCAAGUCCAGGAUGGCCCAUAUCUCUAUGUUGGGGGUAUAGCUCAGUUGGUAGAGCGCCUGCUUUGCAAGCAGGAUGUCAGCGGUUCGAGUCCGCUUACCUCCACUGAUUACCACCUCUUCCAUAAUUUAAGGAAAUGUUUUGAGUUGUGAUCAGAUUCUGAAUGAAUCUAGCUUCCUAAUAAAAAUUAUUAAGAUGCUGGACUCAUUGAAUUAAUUUCAUUGAUUUCAGAGAACCUUGACAACUGCAUAGAUUAUUUUUAAAGACAAUAAGCAUCUCUAAUGAUGCAGAUUUAUUAUUUGUGCGAAUGCAUUAAUAACAAUUCUAUUGAGCUGAUGCUUCAA